GAUAAAGGCAUUUAGCCCAGAACAAUACUGGAAUCACUUCCUUGUCCUUUACACUAUUCACAAAUUCUCCUAAAUACCUUCUCCAGAGCCUGAGCAGCAGCUCUUCCCAUAAGAAGGGCUGGACCUCUGUCUGAGUGAAGAGGAGAAGGGAUUAGCAAUUGUGAGCAAAAGGGGGAGGGUUUUUGUCUGAUGAAGGACCAUGUCUCACAGAGCAGAUGACGGACAUACAUGUGACAAAGACAGACAGCACUGUGACUAUCAGGCUAUUGGGGCUGCAGGCAAAGACCGGCUCUUAAGGGAUGAAAGUUUGCUUUUCAGUUGCCUCAUGGAUGGAUUCGGGGAGGUGAUAUCUAAUUCUUGAAUAUGGUGGUCACUGUCAGACAACUGCAGACAGCUGUGUGUCCAUUUAGGUGGCUGCUUUCAAAGUGGCCUGGGAAGUCUGUGGCUGUCACUCCCUAGGAAACCAGAAAGGAAGAGUGGGUCAAAGGACAAAAUCAGCUGUUGCAGCAACAGAAGAUUUAGGCACUGACAAAGUGCCAACCGUUAGGAACAGUUGCAGAGCCACACAGCUGGGAGGUCCACCCACCCUGGGGCUUCUUUUGCCACAGCAAUUUGAUAAAAACUAUUUUGGGAAGGAAUGUCCUCGGAACUGGAGUAUCUUCGACUCCCAAGGUUUCCUCUGAAUGAUUGGUCAACAGGUGUCAAAGAGCUGGUGGCAGAAAUAGUCCAGACCUCUCUGUUGUUCUAAUUUUACACCUGCUUGGGCAGCAGAGUUUGAAUGUAUUGCUUCUUAAACAAGGAAGUCUUUUAUCGGUUUCUGCAGGAAAAUAAGAGAGGCAAAUACAGUGUGGAUGCAGUAGCAUUUCCGUAGGUACACAUAUGGGCGCACUGUGACCACAGACUCUUCUCUGAUUUUUGUUGCAUAUUGAAACUAUGAUACAAUUCAAACCUACAGAGUUUUCAUAUAGAAUGGGGUCUCUCUGGAAGAACAGAUGUUGACAUACAUUAAUGUGAACUCUGCACGAAGCUAUCAUGGUUUUCUGAAAACUUGUUACCGGUGCAAAAUUAAAUAGUAUUACCUUUUUUUUUUAUUUUAACAACAGCACAUGCAAAAUAAGCUUGUGAAAUGGUGAUCAGUUCAGAGUCUGAAAAAAAAAAGUAAAUGUGGUACAAUCUGAUAGGAGGUUAUUAAGCUCUUUAGUGGUUGUGACCAAUGGAUUCGGAUGUGGUCUUCCUCACAGUGUCUCUAUUUAAUAGAUAACCUGACAAGCUCUGAAUCUUGAAGAGGCUAUUGCUCCCCACAGUGUAU
ensembl:lncRNA